CCUACGGGAGGCAGCAGUGGGGAAUAUUGCACAAUGGGGGAAACCCUGAUGCAGCCAUGCCGCGUGUGUGAAGAAGGCCUUCGGGUUGUAAAGCACUUUCAGUAGGGAGGAAAGGGUGUAGUUUAAUACGCUAUAUCUGUGACGUUACCUACAGAAGAAGGACCGGCUAACUCCGUGCCAGCAGCCGCGGUAAU
rnacentral:rRNA from 2 species